CAAUAGCGUAUAUUAAAGUUGUUGCAGUUAAAAAGCUCGUAGUUGGAUUUGUGGUGUACGGUGUGUUCCGGGCACUUGUUGUCUGAGUAACCUGCUGUUGCCAUCCUUGGGUGGAACCUGUGUGGCAUUAGGUUGUCGUGCAGGGGAUGCCCAUCAUUUACUGUGAAAAAAUUAGAGUGUUCAAAGCAGGCUUAUGCCGUUGAAUAUAUUAGCAUGGAAUAAUGAGAUAGGACUUUUUUGCUAUUUUGUUGGUUUGCGCAAAGAGGUAAUGAUUAAUAGGGACAGUUGGGGGUAUUCGUAUUCCAUUGUCAGAGGUGAAAUUCUUGGAUUUUUGGAAGACGAACUACUGCGAAAGCAUUUACCAAGGAUGUUUUCAUUAA
rnacentral:rRNA from 1 species